rnacentral:misc_RNA from 1 species
UGGAGGUCUUGUCCACAUUCACAACAAGUCUGGUGUCCACAGCCAAAAGCCAUGUCCUUCGGAUUGGUGAGGCAAAUGGGGCAGACCUGGUUAUCAUAAGUUGAGCUAGCUACAGGAGGAGCUGUACUAGUACUAGUACUAGUAGGAUUUCUGUUUACGGGGUAAGAAGGCACACUUGGCUCAUAACUGGAAGACCAGGUAGGCUUUGAACUACUA